rnacentral:rRNA from 1 species
GAUGAACGCUGGCGGCGUGCCUAAUACAUGCAAGUCGAGCGAACGGACGAGAAGCUUGCUUUUCUGAUGUUAGCGGCGGACGGGUGAGUAACACGUGGAUAACCUACCUAUAAGACUGGGAUAACUUCGGGAAACCGGAGCUAAUACCGGAUAAUAUUUUGAACCGCAUGGUUCAAAAGUGAAAGACGGUCUUGCUGUCACUUAUAGAUGGAUCCGCGCUGCAUUAGCUAGUUGGUAAGGUAACGGCUUACCAAGGCAACGAUGCAUAGCCGACCUGAGAGGGUGAUCGGCCACACUGGAACUGAGACACGGUCCAGACUCCUACGGGAGGCAGCAGUAGGGAAUCUUCCGCAAUGGGCGAAAGCCUGACGGAGCAACGCCGCGUGAGUGAUGAAGGUCUUCGGAUCGUAAAACUCUGUUAUUAGGGAAGAACAUAUGUGUAAGUAACUGUGCACAUCUUGACGGUACCUAAUCAGAAAGCCACGGCUAACUACGUGCCAGCAGCCGCGGUAAUACGUAGGUGGCAAGCGUUAUCCGGAAUUAUUGGGCGUAAAGCGCGCGUAGGCGGUUUUUUAAGUCUGAUGUGAAAGCCCACGGCUCAACCGUGGAGGGUCAUUGGAAACUGGAAAACUUGAGUGCAGAAGAGGAAAGUGGAAUUCCAUGUGUAGCGGUGAAAUGCGCAGAGAUGUGGAGGAACACCAGUGGCGAAGGCGACUUUCUGGUCUGUAACUGACGCUGAUGUGCGAAAGCGUGGGGAUCAAACAGGAUUAGAUACCCUGGUAGUCCACGCCGUAAACGAUGAGUGCUAAGUGUUAGGGGGUUUCCGCCCCUUAGUGCUGCAGCUAACGCAUUAAGCACUCCGCCUGGGGAGUACGACCGCAAGGUUGAAACUCAAAGGAAUUGACGGGGGCCCGCACAAGCGGUGGAGCAUGUGGUUUAAUUCGAAGCAACGCGAAGAACCUUACCAAAUCUUGACAUCCUUUGACAACUCUAGAGAUAGAGCCUUCCCCUUCGGGGGACAAAGUGACAGGUGGUGCAUGGUUGUCGUCAGCUCGUGUCGUGAGAUGUUGGGUUAAGUCCCGCAACGAGCGCAACCCUUAAGCUUAGUUGCCAUCAUUAAGUUGGGCACUCUAAGUUGACUGCCGGUGACAAACCGGAGGAAGGUGGGGAUGACGUCAAAUCAUCAUGCCCCUUAUGAUUUGGGCUACACACGUGCUACAAUGGACAAUACAAAGGGCAGCGAAACCGCGAGGUCAAGCAAAUCCCAUAAAGUUGUUCUCAGUUCGGAUUGUAGUCUGCAACUCGACUACAUGAGGCUGGAAUCGCUAGUAAUCGUAGAUCAGCAUGCUACGGUGAAUACGUUCCCGGGUCU